GGGACCCUGUCUUUGAUCCAGCGAUCACAGGGCUUCUCUCUCUCCUUUCGGUGUCUGGUGCACCUCCCAUCUCAUCUACCCUUUUCCCACUUUCUGGUCCAGCAAGAGGAACUCACAGCAUCUUUUCUUACUUCCGGAGGAAUUUAUUCCACAUGUGUCUGAUUCAUUUGCGUUUAUAGAAACUCGAAAUCUCCAGCGUCCAAAAAGCCUUUCAACUAUUUUUUCUUUCUUAGAAACAGGAAGUUGUGUUUGGCUUAGGACAGACUCUUCCGUGCGCCUGGGACUUACAAGAUGUUUGGAAUGAGGAAUGGUGAGGUCUGUCUGUUUUCUUGAAGCUGCCAGCUCAGCCAGGGGACCAUAGGAAAAUGCCCCAGGCUAGAAGAGAGCUUUCUCAUAAAGACAUACUGUCCUUCAGCUGAGGGCCACAAAGAUCUGUUUUCUGAGUCCCUGAGCUGCAGCUGUUGAAUUUCCAGACACAAACAAGUAUGUAUUCUGUGAGUCUUGCCGAGCCCACACAGCAAGGAAGAGCCAAGCUGGAUUCCAUUCUGCUUCGCACAUCAGCAGCUCUGCUGCCAGCUGAACUCCAGGGCAAAAGCUGUGCUGGUAAUGAUGCAGCCAGUAGGGAUGGCACAGCUGGACUGGCGUGGGCUGCUAAUGAGGGACACACUUGGCCUUGAUUAUUUUGGGGAGAAUGAGAAAUGAAAAGAGAUGAAGAAUUGCAGAAAUAUAUAUCGGCCUCAACAAAAUUGGUGCAUAGCAAGGGAAAAUCUGGUUUUACUAGUCAUCAUCAACAUGCCUGUGUGUGUGCUUGUUUAUGUUUAGGUAAGCCUGGCCUCCCACUCACUAAUGAGUCGGUAGACAGGAAAGGCAGACAGGAAAAGUGGUCAACUCUGUCAACAGCCACCGUGCACCACAAAGGUGAUCAGCUAAGGGCACGAUCAUACAGAAGACUGAGCCAGAGACUUCCUCUGAGCCAGGAAGAGAUGAGGAGCUAUGAUGCAGGAGAUAGGAUUUUGGAAACUCUCAGGUAGGUUGCGAUGGCUAGUGAAGAAUGCCAUUCUGUGUAAAAGGGCUGAUUGGGAAAGCUGAAAGCUGCUUGGGCCCCAAGAGUUGUGAGAUGAGGAUAGAACUUGGUGUGGAAAGGAGCUGAGGGCUCAGAAUUCCUUAGAUCCUAAGAGAGUCUUGUAUCUCCAGCUGGUCAAUAGGCAAAAGUAAGGAUGGGGACACACGCAGAGGGAAAGGGGUGAGUCUUUCUCAAGGAAAGGAGCCCAGAGACAUCAUGUAACCACUGUUCCCAAGUCGGAAGUUCCCACUAGAGCAGCAGU